GUUUUAGUUAGCCAAGGGUCUACACACUUGCAGUGAUAAGCAUGGGAACAGGGAAGGAUUCUGAGCUUGUCUCCAUCUUCCUACUCAUCUGAACAAAUGGCACAUACAUCAUACUCAUCUCCUUUCUUGAAUUUAUGUACAGGGAGUUUCUUAAGUUGAUCUUUACAAAGUCUGUUUCUUCUAGCUCUAUGUCUAUCCUGGAAAAAUUUUCCAAAAACAUGAAAAUGACUAUCAAGAUGAGACAGAUACUCACUAUGAUAAGGAAGGGAAUUAGGCAGCAUUCCAAAGGAAGACUAAAUUCUGGAACUAAGAUAAGGUGGUCCCCUUUUUCAUACAUGAAUUCAUCUUUCAGAGAAUUAGCUGAUGAUUCACCAAUAGAGACAGAUAGAAUGUCAAUUUUCUUUAGUACCUCAAUGUCAUUGGAUCCAAUGUUAAUGAGGUCAUCAGAAUCAACAUUGUGAACUAUGGCUGCUUUGUAUUCUGCUCUCUGUGCAUUUAAAAUCUUUAUAUCAAAAUUACAAUCAAGUCUUCUAAUUAACACAAUGAAAGUGCCAGACAAAUUGUUUUUUACUGGUGGAGGCACUCUGCGUUCACAGGCAUUCUCUGGUUUUGAUCAAAAAACCCUUUAAACCUUCAGCUGGAAGUCUAUAACCAAAUCUUGCAGGGAGGUCACCAAAGGACUGAGAUGUAUUUUCAAAGUUAUAUGCUAAAAUGUCUGCUUCUACAGGCAGUAGGUUUAAGAAUGCAAAGAGCUGGACAGCCAAGAUGGUGUAGACUUGUGUGGCUGACAGCAUAAGCAUCCCUAUGGAGAGCAGCAUCUCGAAAAAUCACCUGGAAGUCCAGCCCCUGGAACACAACCAGUCCUGCUGGCCACAUCGCAGGAGAAGUCCCUACCCUGACUUCAUGACUGAAUAUCUGCACUGACCCCAAAGCCCGGAGUAGGAGCAGGGACAACA
rnacentral:lncRNA from 10 species